rnacentral:lncRNA from 1 species
CUGGGCCCUGUGGAGAAGCCUCUCCCCAUUGGCUGCUUCGGAGUCCACCUGCCCUGUCUGAGCAGCCCGAAAGCCAUUGGCCGUCGCCGCUGUCGCUUAGGAAGAAGCCAGCCUUAGUCUCCGCUUUGGGUUGCGAGGGGUGACUAGCUAGCUCAGAAGCGUGGCCAUCCUCUCUCCAUUGGUCGCUCGAAGCUGGACACUGUGCCUCACGUCUGCAAACUUAGGAGCUCUAGCUGUAUGGCGGCGCGUCUAGGGGAACCUCGUCGGCUCCGUGUGGAACCUGGGUGUUUUAAGUGUUUGUGCCGUUUCCUCAGGCUAAGCCGCGCUCGAACGGAUGCGGUGCUGGGGAUCACAAAAUGGGGUGCCACCCCCAAACAUUACGUCAUCGGGGUGACCAUUGCCUGGGGUUCCCCGCAGUCUAAACUGCUUUAUAAUCCGGAUGGAUGCGGUUCUGGCGUCCGCCUGCUUCUGGCCGUACGCACGACGCACAGCCCCUCCCUCUGCGGGAGAGCCGGACAGACUUUGGGAUUCCGAGUGUAAAAGAAACCGGAACCACCGAGACCUGAGACCUGGGACACGCUGCGACCGGAAGUGGGGGAGGUGACGUUGGGAAGUGCUGGCGUGGCCUGGGCAACAACCAAGGAGAGCUUAAGUGUUCGGAGUGGAACCUAGUGCUUCACCCAGCCCAAGCAAGCAGCCCACCGACAUAGCAGCUUGGCGAGUCUUUUUGUUUUGGCGAUACUGAUUAUUGGACAUUGGGAGUCGCACACACUUGGCAGGUGCACUCGUAACACUGAAGCUACUCUAUACCCUAUCACUUUUUGGGACAGGGUUUCCACUAAGUUGUCCUGCCUGCCUAGUAACUAGGGCUACACUGUUGCGCCAUCAGGCCCAGGUUUGGGUAAAGCUUUUAAAAGAAGGCUCUGUUACCUGCCCUUGGACCCCCAUAGCAUUGGAUCCAAAAAGUUCGGGCUUAUGUAUAGGAGGAAUCUUGGAACCACCACAUUCCACAUGUUGACAUCAGACAAAUCGUUUAACCUCCCUAAACCUAUUGUCUCAUGAAUAAAAUGGUAACUAUAAUAUC